rnacentral:rRNA from 1 species
GAUGAACGCUGGCGGCGUGCCUAAUACAUGCAAGUCGAGCGAACAGACGAGGAGCUUGCUCCUCUGACGUUAGCGGCGGACGGGUGAGUAACACGUGGAUAACCUACCUAUAAGACUGGGAUAACUUCGGGAAACCGGAGCUAAUACCGGAUAAUAUAUUGAACCGCAUGGUUCAAUAGUGAAAGACGGUUUUGCUGUCACUUAUAGAUGGAUCCGCGCCGCAUUAGCUAGUUGGUAAGGUAACGGCUUACCAAGGCAACGAUGCGUAGCCGACCUGAGAGGGUGAUCGGCCACACUGGAACUGAGACACGGUCCAGACUCCUACGGGAGGCAGCAGUAGGGAAUCUUCCGCAAUGGGCGAAAGCCUGACGGAGCAACGCCGCGUGAGUGAUGAAGGUCUUCGGAUCGUAAAACUCUGUUAUUGGGGAAGAACAAAUGUGUAAGUAACUAUGCACGUCUUGACGGUACCUAAUCAGAAAGCCAGGGCUAACUACGUG